rnacentral:rRNA from 1 species
GGGGGGGGGGGGGGGGAGGGCUGGCGCGUGCAGGGCGGGGGGAUGAGGGGGGCGUGCUCCUGGCUUCAGCGGCGGACGGGUGAGUCAUGACUAGGAAUCUGCCGGGCAUUGUGGGCUAACGUCCGGAAACGGGCGCUAAUACCGCAUCCGUCCUGACGGCGCAAGGGGGGGAUCUUCGGACCUCACGCUAUCAGAUGAGCCUAGGUCGGGUUAGCUAGUUGGUGGGGUAAAGGCCUACCAAGGCGACGAUCCGUAACUGAGCUGAGAGGAUGAUCAGUCACCCUGGAACUGGAACACGUUCCAAACUCCUACGGGAGGCAGCAGUGGGGAAUAUUGGACAAUGGGCGAAAGCCUGAUCCAGCCAUGCCGCGUGUGUGAAGAAGGUCUUCGGAUUGUAAAGCACUUUAAGUUGGGAGGAAGGGCAGUAAGUUAAUACCUUGCUGUUUUGACGUUACCAACAGAAUAAGCACCGGCUAACUUCGUG